GUAGGGAUGUGGCUCAAGUGGUAGCGUGCUCGCCUGGCAUGCACGCGGCGCUGGGUUCAAACCUCAGCACUACA
rnacentral:tRNA from 1 species